CGGUUUCUGUUAAGUAAUCAUGUACAUUCCUUCCAUGACCAUUCUGCGGCUUUUCAUUGUAUUCGCGCUCUUGCUAUCCACGAUUCAGGAUGGUCGGUUAUUUGUUCUUGGACGUACAAAUAUUAGUCACAAAGGACCAGCAUUUCAGCAUGGCUUCCAUCUAAAUAGGAAAUGGUGGUCAUCCACUCGGAGGACGCCACCACCGCGUCCACCGAAUCCUUUUCCUCCAUUUCGUGACUUCGAAAAUGCCCAUACUGUGAGGAGAAGUCUUCGGACGUCUACCACAUGGUGUGGGCAUACCAGUCAGCUCCGAACCUCGCUCCAAAACCACACCUCACCCGGGAGGACUGGGAGGGAGCCCUGUUCGGCUGCUCCGACCUGGCGAGCCAGAAGGCCCUGGUCGACCGAGCUCGAGUCGCGGCGAUCGCCAAUGGGCUCCUGUAAUGAGGAGCCCACCUAGUACUUGUGCGGGGGUGGCCCCCUUCGGGCCACCUCGCGCUUACUCCCUGUAUAUACCUAUAAUAAAGUUUUUUCCUCCUCCU